GAUGAAGAACGCAGCGAAAUGCGAUAAGUAGUGUGAAUUGCAGAAUUCAGUGAAUCAUCGAAUCUUUGAACGCACAUUGCGCCCGCUGGUAUUCCGGCGGGCAUGCCUGUUCGAGCGUCAUUUCAACCCUCAAGCCCCCGGGUUUGGUGUUGGGGAUCGGCUCUGCCCUCUGGGCGGUGCCGCCCCCGAAAUACAUUGGCGGUCUCGCUGCAGCCUCCAUUGCGUAGUAGCUAACACCUCGCAACUGGAACGCGGCGCGGCCAUGCCGUAAAACCCCAACUUCUGAAUGUUGACCUCGGAUCAGGUAGGAAUACCCGCUGAACUUAAGCAUAUCAAUAAGCGGAGGA
rnacentral:misc_RNA from 1 species